CUGUUUCCUCACCUCAACCCACCUCCAGAGGGGUUUUUUUUGUUUUUUUUUUAAUUCUUUUUAUUAUUUUAUAUCACCUAAGGCGCCUAAGAAAAAUUUGUAAUGGCUCCCACUCUGGUGUUUUCCAAUCCACUUUGUCUGUUUAACCACGAAGGGUGGAUGAGCAGGGAGACUGUAGAUUUUUAUAUUGCUCCAAUAAUUUGGUAACAAAUUGGCAAUAGUUACCUUUUCUUCUCAAAAUUCAAUGCUGUAAUAACAGGACUGUCACAUAUUCUGCGCGUUUGUGAUGGUUACUACACUGCUAUCCCAGCAUUUCUUAAUUCUAAUCUGACCCCUUUCGUAUCCCACCUUGUCAUACCUAAAAAUAAUUAAUUUCAUAAUUUGCAUUAAGUAAACAACACCUGAGGAAGUCCCACCUCAUUACAGUGUUGUAAAAAAAAAUAAAAUAAGGGGCCCUUUUAAAUUUCCCUAGAUCUGAAAUGCUUUUCUUUUCCAGAUCAUCACACCCAUAGAACACUGUUAUUUUAACAUGAGAAAGCAUGUGUUAAAGGGGGGAGAUUUAUAUAAGGGUUUAUAUAAUCAUAUAAAAUGUAAUAAUAAUGUUAUUAAAAUGAAUACAAUGUUGCUGUCAUUAAAUAAUUCAGUUUAGUCAUUCAAGCUAUCUCAGUCAAGUUUUCUUGGAUUCCUCCUUUUUCUUAAAUCUUUGUCAUUCCUUCGAGGCUGAUUUUGUUGGGAUCUGGAGGUCUGUCCACCUUUCUCCAGCAGAGGGCGUUCUAGGUCUCCUGGGGCUGAAGCUGACCACCACACCUGCGGCUCAUGAGCUCAUCAGGGGACCAGCAUUUAAGGAGGGGCAGAGCUACAAUCCGACGGCAGAGUGUUUGCCAGUUAUGGAAGAACCUGCCUGGAAUCCUGAAGACCUGGAAGGAUUUCUCAAGCGUGAGACCAAGCGGUCUGUUCUCAGAAGAACGCUGGAAAUCCAACUCAGUCUGAAACCUGCCUGCCCGCUCUGAAGAGAAGCUCUGAACCUGCUCAGUAAGAUUAUCUGCUCUGCCCUGCCUCUGCGUGCCUUCAGCCUCUGGACCCUCCUGGUUCCCCCCCUUCUACCGCUCAGCUCAUCUCUGAUCAGUGAAAACCAGUCGUGACCAGACCCGGACCCACUUUAUCCCAGAACCAGUGUUCUUUAUUUGUUAUUAUUUCUUUAAUAAACUUGUAAACUUUUUCCCAGCCUCUGAGUGUUCUGCAUGUGGGUUAGAUCCCUUAAAGCCAACAUGACAGAUUUAUGAGGCUGAACUAUUUACUGAGCUGUCUGGUCAAAACCUUUUAACCUGCUGCAUGCCCCCACCUUUUGCUAAGAUAAGAUCCUUUGUCAUCUGAAAUGGAGCUCUUAGACUUUACUUUUUUUUUUUCCCUAAUAACGUCUGGUGGGGUUUAAAUGGUUACCUAAACAAUUUUUUUCGAUCCCUUUUAUGUUUUGACCCAUAGGGGACCAUGAGUCAAAAGGGAGGACUAGGAAAUGGAUGGACAAAAAUUGGUUAACAGUUAAUUUUUCUCAAAAAGCAACAAAGUUUGUGAAAGUUUAAUCUGUGCAUGUAAAAACAUUUCUAGAGGAAAGAAAAUGAUGGGCCAAGGAGCCACAAAAACAGUUGAUGCUCCAUUUUAACAUAAUAAUACAUAUUAUUUAACAGCACCUUUCUGGACACUCAAGGUCACUUUACAGAAAAUAAAAACAAAAUGAAAAAACAAAUAAACAAAUACAGGAACAUAAAAACAAGUAUGUAUAGGGACAAGAGCAGCAUAUUCACAAAUAAGCGAGCUGGAACAGAUGGGUUUUGAGUCUGGCUUUGAAUAAGGGGAGAGAGUCAAUACUGAGGAGGAUCUAAGGGAGUGAGAGGAAGUGACAAUCUGAAAGAGUUCUGAUGGAUAUGGUUAUUGAUGGCUUUGAAAGUAUAUAGAAGGAUUUUAAAUUUUAUUCUUAACUGAACUGGGGCCAAUGGAGUUGGUAAAGGACAGGGGAAAUAUGAUGAAAGGAGGUGGUUCUGGUGAUGACACGAGCAGCUGAGUUCUGAAGAAGUUGAAGUUUAUGGACAGAUUUAGACAUCCUAUGAUAGAUUUUAUAGAACUAAUUCCACGUGAAGGAAAGAAAUGUUGCUUGGUGAUUUAGAUAUGUUUUCAAGAUGGAUUGAAGCCUAAAAUUUUGCAAGUGAAAUAUUACAACAUAUGCUGAAAUGUUUAAUGUUUACCUAAUGAGGCAUUGUGUCUAUCAUCCACAGAGCGGAGGAGCUGCUGAGAGAGAAAUUAGAUCUGUGAAGAAAUGGGUCUGAAUUCAGUCUAGGCACUCUAAAUUGUUUUGAUGUGCAUGCGCCGCCAUAAAAAAUCUAACCUUAAGUUUUUUUGAAAUUCUCUUUGCAGGAUUGCCAGAGACUCAUACAACAUCUUCAUUUUCAUAUGAUGAUAAAAUGCUUAAUUACUUAAUCUCACUUACAGCCCAGAUAAAUGAAGUGGAGACCAGACACAGAGAGGACUACCUUCACAAGCUACUAAACCUUUGCAUGAUUUACAGCCAGGAGAUUUUGUCUUUAUAAGAAAUUGCAGGAGGAAGAUUGGAGAUCCUGGAGGUGGAUGGGUCCAUUCUAGGUGUUACUGACCAGCCACACAGCAGUAAAGGCCGCUGAGAGA